CUAACCCAUCUCACUACAUCCCUCACCCUUUUCACUAACUCAUUUGCAAACCUCAACCCAUCUUUAACCACUAAGUUUAGGAUAUGGGCUAUGCACCUCAUGUGCAUGUACUGCACCCUAACAGGAGAAGAACCCCAAAAUAACAGCUUGCUCUUAAAAAAACUCAAAGUUGUAUCAUUAGAAGAAACAUUGUCCACUGUAAUAGUGAAUACAUUUUUAAUCCCCCACUCCAAUAGACAACUCUUUAAGGCUUUUGCAAUAUACUCCCCCCUAUGAGAAGAAACAGGGACAAAGGAAAUUAUUUUUUUCUGAAGCUUCCACUGGUCAUCAAUAAAAUGUGCAGUAAUGCACAUAUAAUUAAUUCUCUGGACAGAAGUCCAUGUAUCAGUGGUUAAACUGACCCUUUGGCUACUACCCUUAAGAAGUUGC